CAGUAUUAAUGAGGACAUGAAGAUGAAGAUUCGAAGAAGACAAGCAAUGGCCAAAGAGCUUGGCAUCCUGGCAGCCAGGAGAAGAAAAUGAAGGAGAAGCGGAGAGCAACUAUGUGCAAUGCCUCAGCUUCGUCCAGGAAGAGAGAGCUCAGAAUUUACUGGUUACUUUGAAAAGAGCUAUUUCAUUGAAUGGUAGGGAUGAAACUUGGUGUGCAAAUGAGGUCAAGAGAAAAGAAGAGGAGGAAAUGAUGAAUAAAGAGAACUCUUUUGAGACAUUCUCUAUAAAGAGGAAUAUGGCAACAAUCAGAGAAUAGUAUAGUGAAACAGGGAAAAAGUCAUAAGCCAAAAGAGAUCAGAAGAAGUAUUGGAGUUUUGAGGAGACCACAGCUGUGACAAGAUCAUCUAGGAAAAUGAGGACUAUUAUCCAAAACAUUAGCUCAACCACAGAUCUCCUGAUUCUAGGAUUUCAGCUCUAUAAGAAACUACAUUUUAAAGCAUGAAUCAUUC
ensembl:lncRNA